rnacentral:rRNA from 1 species
GUCGAGAAUCUUCCGCAAUGGGCGAAAGCCUGACGGAGCGACACCGCGUGCAGGAUGAAGGCCUUCGGGUUGUAAACUGCUGUCAGAUUCUAGGAACCACCUGGCGUGAAUAUCGCCAGGUGUGACCAAGAUCAAAGGAAGCAACGGCUAACUCUGUGCCAGCAGCCGCGGUAAGACAGAGGUUGCAAACGUUGUUCGGAAUUACUGGGCAUAAAGCGCACGUAGGCGGUUCGUUAAGUCAUGUGUGAAAUCCCCCGGCUCAACCGGGGAAUUGCGCCUGAUACUGGCGAGCUAGAGAUCGAUAGGGGUGAGCGGAACUCCAGGUGGAGCGGUGAAAUGCGUAGAUAUCUGGAGGAACACCGGUGGCGAAAGCGGCUCACUGGAUCGAAACUGACGCUGAGGUGCGAAAGCUAGGGUAGCAAACGGGAUUAGAAACCCGUGUAGUCC